UCGGCCUUGCGCUGAGCACCACCGGUGGGAAUGCGGAGGAGGGGACCUCCAGUGGCCAGGAUGCCCUUUCCUCAGCUGUCGAGUGGUACAAUCGGAACUCGGGACUGGAUUCCGCCUUCCGGCUGUUGCAAAUCAAAUCUCCCCCGGACGGAGAACCUCCGAAUCCAGAUCUUCAGAAGCUGGAAGUGAUCCUGAAGGAGACCACGUGUCCAAAUUCCGGGGAUUUGAACCUGGACGAUUGUGACUUUAAGGAACACGGGGUGGUGAAAGAAUGUUCUGCAAGUUCCUCGGCCCAGCCCGGAUCCGGCAUCCUCCAGAUCAAGUGUGACACGGUCACUCAAGGGAAUCGUCGGGUCAAACGGCGCAGUAAAAUCCGCAAGGGCCUCAGGAAGCUGAAAAGGUUACUCACAGGAGGCGGGUCGCUCAUCGCUCACGCUAAGCCAAGGUGGCAUUUCGCGUGAGGAGGAGAUGCUCCUUCUGGCGUGGCCCCAUCUGGCCCAGAGGCUCUCGUGCCCCGGAAGAAGCCCCCCAAGGGAAGAUGCUGAGGUGGCCUUCACAACUGCACCUUCUCCCUGGUCCUUGGGU